CGUUUGUUUUCAUGGAAAAAAAUAUGGAGACUAAGAGACACUUAAUGUCAACAAGAUUUUCUGAUUGACAAGAGAAAAGGUCAAACAGGAACUUCAAUUGUGAACAUUGCAGAGAACACACCCAUCAGAAGAUGACCCUCAGAAAUAGGACAAUUAAUGAAUAAAAUGGACAGAGGCAGAACUGAAGGAGAUGCAUGAAAUGAGGAAUAUUUCAAAGAUUGCCUGAGCAUAACCACUGCUACUGGAUAAACAUAUGGCAAUAUAAAAGAGCAGGGUCAAUGGAGGUAUCAUACAGUAUAGGCCAUGAGAGACCCUGAAGAAGAAAGUAUUGAACAGAAACAAAAAUAAAACCAUUUUGACAUUUAUUGAAAUAUAGGAUCAAAGUCUUACAUGUAAAAUUUGGGCAUUUAAUGACUUUUCUCUAGCUCUAAGACUUAUAACAGUGAUGAUUUGAUUUAAUAUCUUUAUCCCGAUUUGUCGAAAAGAUUUGGACAUAGUGCAUCAAUUAUUUUAAAGUUUUGAUACAAGGAAUUCAUUCAUUGUACUUGUAACUGAGUUUUCUGGUGCGACACUGUUUUAUCGGCUUCAAAACUAAGUUUGUGAUUUCCAAACCAGAUUAAUGAGAUCAUGUAAUAUCUUUUAACAUCGGUGACUAUUUAAUCCAUUCUUUUACAUCCCAGAAGUAUUUUUAUUAUUACAGGGAAAAUAUGUAUUGUACAUGUAUCUGUAAUAAACAGGAUUAUAGAAAUUUUCCAUAUAAUACAACACAAUCUUAGCAACUGAAGGCAAAUAUUUUAUCAAGGGUGUGAUCUAUUUAUCAAUAUGGUUUUCAGCAUCUUGCUCUACCUGUAAUGACUUGCUCCAAGUUCCAAUAUUUAGAUUUAAAUUUUGCAAACAUGGUUAUAAAAUUCUUUAAAAGCCAAAUAGUUUAGGCACAAAAUGCUUAUAUAUUUCCUAUCAUUUGUAAAGUGUACAGUGAAUGAGAUGUGGAAUGUUAGAAUUAAAGUAUUAAAUAUGUUUUGGACUUAUGUAUGCUUAUGCAGAUAAAUUUGAAUUCAACUAGGGAAGGUAAAUGUCAUACUUAUUGGGUUUGCAAUCUAAUGCAAGAGUAUAAAUAUCCAAGACAAAUUUGACAAUUUUAAUGAAGGGUAUAAGUAACCCAAGAAGAAUUGGACAGAUAAACAUCACCUGUUGGGUUUUAUUCUAAUGUUGGGAUGUAAUAUCCAAGAAGAGUUGAACCAAUGUCCAAUACCUAUUGGGUUUUCUUUCUUAUGAAAAAAAAUUUGAGUAACCCAAGAAGAAUGUCCAAUACCUUUUAGUUUAUAUACUAUUGAAGGGAUGAAGAUAUCCAAGAGGAAUUGGACAGGUGUCCAUUACAUGUUGGGUAGUAUUCUGAUGAGGGGAUUCUCAAGAAACCCAAGAAUUAGACAAGUGUCCAUUGCCUGUUGGGUGGGAUGUAGAUAUCCAAGAGGAGUUGGACGGAUGUCCAUUACCU